CGCCUUGCCAGCCCGCUCAGAACUUAAAUGAAGUUGACGGGGCCCGCACAAGCGGUGGAGCAUGUGGUUUAAUUCGAUGAUACGCGAGGAACCUUACCUGGGCUCAAAUGUAUGUUGACGUAUUCUGAAAGGGAUACUUCUUCGGACAAUAUACAAGGUGCUGCAUGGUUGUCGUCAGCUCGUGCCGUGAGGUGUCGGGUUAAGUCCCAUAACGAGCGCAACCCCUAUCAUUAGUUGCCAUCAGGUCAAGCUGGGGACUCUAAUGAAACUGCCUACGCAAGUAGUGAGGAAGGUGGGGAUGACGUCAAAUCAGCACGGCCCUUACGUCCAGGGCUACACACGUGCUACAAUGGCCGGUACAACGGGCAGCGAAGGAGCGAUCCGGAGCGAAUCCUAAAAAGCCGGUCCCAGUUCGGAUUGCAGGCUGAAACUCGCCUACAUGAAGUUGGAGUUGCUAGUAAUCGCGAAUCAGAAUGUCGCGGUGAAUGCGUUCCCGGGUCUU
rnacentral:rRNA from 1 species